rnacentral:rRNA from 1 species
AACGAACGCUGGCGGCAUGCCUAACACAUGCAAGUCGAACGAGACCUUCGGGUCCAGGGGCGCACGGGUGCGUAACGCGUGGGAACCUGCCCUUAGGUUCGGAAUAACUCCCCGAAAGGGGUGCUAAUACCGGAUAAUGUCUUCGGACCAAAGAUUUAUCGCCUUUGGAUGGGCCCGCGUUGGAUUAGCUAGUUGGUAGGGUAAAAGCCUACCAAGGCGACGAUCCAUAGCUGGUCUGAGAGGAUGAUCAGCCACACUGAGACUGAGACACGGCCCAGACUCCUACGGGAGGCAGCAGUGGGGAAUAUUGGACCAUGGGCGAAGGCCUGAUCCAGCAAUGCCGCGUGAGUGAUGAAGGCCUUAGGGUUGUAAAGCUCUUUUAACCGGGAUGAUAAUGACAGUACCGGGAGAAUAAGCUCCGGCUAACUCCGUG